UGGUAGUNCACGCCGUAAACGCUGAGUGCUAGGUGUUAGGUCCUUUCCGGGACUUAGUGCNGACGCUAACGCAUUAAGCACUCCGCCUGGGGAGUACGACCGCAAGGUUGAAACUCAAAGGAAUUGACGGGGGCCCGCACAAGCGGUGGAGCAUGUGGUUUAAUUCGAAGCAACGCGAAGAACCUUACCAGGUCUUGACAUCCCGAUGCCCGCUCUAGAGAUAGAGUUUUACUUUUUGUACAUCGGAGACAGGUGGUGCAUGGUUGUCGUCAGCUCGUGUCGUGAGAUGUUGGGUUAAGNNNNNNNACGAGCGCAACCCUUAUUGUUAGUUGCCAUCAUUAAGUUGGGCACUCUAGCGAGACUGCCGGUAAUAAACCGGAGGAAGGUGGGGAUGACGUCAAAUCAUCAUGCCCCUUAUGACCUGGGCUACACACGUGCUACAAUGGUUGGUACAACGAGUCGCAAGCCGGUGACGGCAAGCUAAUCUCUGAAAGCCAAUCUCAGUUCGGAUUGUAGGCUGCAACUCGCCUACAUGAAGUCGGAAUCGCUAGUAAUCGCGGAUCAGCACGCCGCGGUGAAUACGUUCCCGGGCCUUG
rnacentral:rRNA from 1 species